GCGCUGCUCUGGUCUGGCUGAGCAGCUCUGUACUUGGGUCAAGGCUGAUUGACUCUUUGUACUCAUUUGUUAGCAAGUCUCUUCAGUUAGACCUGUGUUCGUUAGUUUAUAUAAUAACAAUAAUCAUAACAAGGUAAAAUAAGCUUGGAUUACGAAGCACAACGCUAAUGAGUAUUCCAGUCCUCAUCAGCUACUCCCCCCCUGGUCUAGUUGAACAGCGUUCUCUUCGUUCAACUAGUGGUGUGUGUUGUGAAGUCAGCGCUGUGCUGUUCUCCCGUGUCCAUUAAGCAUACACGAUUCCCUGUGCUGGGAAGACUCAAGUGAUCUGCGUUGACAACCCCGCGCUGACUGCGCUGCACCGACUGCGCUGACAACCCCGCGCUGACUGCGCUGUACUACCUGCAUUGACAAAGAUGAUACACUCCCGCAUAGCGGCCCUUAAGAUGGUACAAAGAUGGUACACCCCCGCCGAAGCGGCCCUUAAGAUGGUACACCCCCGCCGAAGCGGCCCUUAAGAUGGUACACCCCCGCCGAAGCGGCCCUCAAGAUGGUACACCCCCGCCGAAGCGGCCCUUAAGAUGGUACACCCCCGCCGAAGCGGCCCUCAAGAUGGUACACCCCUGUCUAACUUUCGCGGCUUACGAUAUUCCUGCGCGGAGCAUAGACAAUCAAAGAACCCUGUCUAACUUUCGCGGCUUACGAUAUUCCUGCGCGGAGCAUAGACAUUCUGAACUGACAACGGCUCGGACAUUCUGCGCUGAAAACUACUGAGAUA
rnacentral:lncRNA from 1 species